AACUAUGGCCAUAUCACGUUGAAAGCAUCAGCUCUCAUCCGAUCACCGAAGUUAAGCAUCAUUAAGCAUAGUGAGUACUUAGAUGGGUGACCACUUGGGAAACCUAGGUGCUGUAAGCC
rnacentral:rRNA from 1 species